CCCUUAGAUGUCCGGGGCCGCACGCGCGCUACAAUGGAUGAAUCAACGCGUCAUCCUGGCCCGAAAGGGUUGGGGAACCGCUGAACCUCAUCCGUGGUUGGGAUUGGGGUUUGUAAUUAUUCCCCAUGAACUAGGAAUUCCCAGUAAGCGCGAGUCAUAAGCUCGCGUUGAUUACGUCCCUGCCCUUUGUACACACCGCCCGUCGCUACUACCGAUUGGAUGGUUUAGUGAGAUCCUCGGAUUGGUCACGGCACGGUGGCAACACUGCGUCGGUGUGCCGAGAAGACGAUCAAACUUGAUCAUCUAGAGGAAGUAAAAGGCGUAACA
rnacentral:rRNA from 1 species